ensembl:lncRNA
GGAGCAGCUGCUAGGGCCCCACCUGGGAGCUGCAGAGCCAGGACGAAGCCUGGGGCCCUGGGCAGGUUUGCCUAGAUGAUGACACUUCAAAAUGAUGAAUGUAAAACCUAAAAUUUGAUCAGCCAUGCUAGAGGAAAAGACUAAAUUAUCUUUCUGUGCUCUCAGUAAAAAAUUAAAUUAUGAAACUGUUAUCAAAUGGAGGACAGCCAAAAAAAUGUAGGAUGUGUCAGGGAAUCAAAUAACAGUAUUAGUAGUAAUAAUAGUAAUAGCUGUUGUUGACUGUUGUUGUAGAUGUGUCCUUUGAAUUUUGUCAUUGCUAGUCAGCUUUUUAAAUUCAUGAUUCAUUGUGAUUUCAUUUCUCAGUUUAAUUAAGCAUUCAUUUUUGUACCUAAUUGUUUAUCUUUUUUCUUUAAGAGUUCCCUGUCCCCCCAAAGUUGAAUAAGGUUCAGGCCAGGAUGUGCCCUUGCUUGGUUGCACUGGAGGGCUGCUCUCCAAAGAGCAUAGAACUGAAGCUGGAGACACAACUUCCGGGAUGGUUUGGUCACUUGUCCUGUAUCUCGGAUACAGCCUGUGCUUCCGUCCAGCUUCACAACACACUCGGGGCAGCGAAAACUUACUUUACCUGCACGUGCGCUUCAGCUCCCUGGUGGCCAAGCUGAAGACUGACCUGAGGUUUCCUGAGGGGCACCGGCUGUGACUUGGGACUGCUGUCUUCCCUUUCCUUUCACGGUGCCUGCGAGCCUUGGCUUGCUCUCCAAAGAAGUGGGAAUCCACCAGAAAAUUGGCAAGUGCAAACAAACAGGGAGAAUGGAAACGGGGUCCUCACGUGCUGAUAGGAUAACUGGGGCAGGAGGAUAUGGUUGCUGAGCGCUGAGUGCGGUUUGGGAAGACUUCCUGGAGAAGGGAUGAUUUUGAGCCUUGAUUGAAAUCAGCAAGCAACAAGGGCAAGAAGUACAGCUAAAUAGAUGUGGGAGAGAGAGGCUGAGUCUGGGAAAAAGGUACGUCAAGGAAAAAGUGAUGGUUCUCCUUACAUAUUCCAGUGACUCUCAUGUGGAGGAGGGGUACUUCUCCCACAUACAGGGACCCGUCCUUUUUCUCAUUUGUGCUCCCAGGCCUGGCCCAGUCCCUGGCAGGCAAGAAACAUCCAAACCAUGUUUGCUGAGUGACUGAAAGAACAUACCACAAUAAAAAACAUUAUAAAUAAAUUUUUUAAAAAAAAGAAAGGGCAUACUUACAGAUUUCAUGGCAACGCAAGGAAGUUACAGGAGACCAAUUUCAGCUCAAUAAGAGGAAGGACUUGCUAAAAAUUAGAACUGACAGCUGAAGAACACCAAUAAUAGCUACUGAACAUGUUGUAUGUGCUGUGGACUAGGCUAAACUUUUGAUGUACAUUUCCCAUUGAAGCCUUACAGUAGCUGUUUGAAAUAGGCAUCAUUGUCCUUAUUUUAAAACGAGGAAACGAAGUCACAGAGGUUAAGUCACGUGCAUAGGGUCACAAACCCUUGUUCAGAGCAAGUGGAGGAGCCUUGAUUUGCACCAAAGCUGUCUGACACCAAAGCCACAGCCGACCCCACCCUGGAGGUUUGCCAGUUCCUCCGGCCCUGUUUGCCAGUAUCUCCCGCAUCUUGCUGGCCCAUUGGCUCUUGCAUUUCAUAUGCAGAAUAGGCACAGCCUUUCCCCUGAAGAGGCUCUGUCUGGUAAGAUCUACCAACAGGUACAGGAAAAGGUGCUCAACAUCACUAACUAUCAGGGUUUUGCAAAUCAAAACCACGACAAGAUACCACCUCACACCUGCAAGAAUGACUAUCAUCAAAAAGUCAAGAAAUAACAAAUGUUGGGGAUUCCCCGGUGGUCUAGUGGUUAGGAUUGAGCACUUUACUAUCCUGGCCUGGGUUCAGUCUCUGGUCAGGGAAGUGAGAUCCUGCCACCCGAGCCUCAUGGCCAAAAUAAAAAUAAAUAAAAAGGAACACAUGUUGGUGAGGAUGUGGAGAAAAGAAAAUCCUUGUGCACUGUUGGUGGACAUGUACAUUGGUGCAAACACCAAAGAAAACAGCGUGGAGGGUCCUUAAAAACUUAAAAAUAGAGCUGCCAUAUGAGCCAGCAAUUCUACUGCUAGAUGCAGGGGCAAAACAGACGUGGUUUCUGCGCUAAAGGACCUGGAGGUCAAAGGCCAUGAAUCUCAACUCUAUCAGACCCCACGCCUCUUCUUAAAACAAAUCAUUUUUAGUAUCAUUCUUCUUAUCUGGAGAAAAUCCGUUGAUAAAAUGGCGUAUCUAUAAAGUCAUUUUUUGUGUCCUAAAUUUAAUAUAAAGGAGAAAUGCAGGGAAAGCG